AGUUUGAUCCUGGCUCAGAUUGAACGCUGGCGGCAGGCCUAACACAUGCAAGUCGAGCGGUAGAGAGGUGCUUGCACCUCUUGAGAGCGGCGGACGGGUGAGUAAUACCUAGGAAUCUGCCUGGUAGUGGGGGAUAACGUUCGGAAACGGACGCUAAUACCGCAUACGUCCUACGGGAGAAAGCAGGGGACCUUCGGGCCUUGCGCUAUCAGAUGAGCCUAGGUCGGAUUAGCUAGUUGGUGAGGUAAUGGCUCACCAAGGCUACGAUCCGUAACUGGUCUGAGAGGAUGAUCAGUCACACUGGAACUGAGACACGGUCCAGACUCCUACGGGAGGCAGCAGUGGGGAAUAUUGGACAAUGGGCGAAAGCCUGAUCCAGCCAUGCCGCGUGUGUGAAGAAGGUCUUCGGAUUGUAAAGCACUUUAAGUUGGGAGGAAGGGCAUUAACCUAAUACGUUA
rnacentral:rRNA from 1 species